GGGGCAACUCCCCGAGUAGAGUGGCGCACGGGUGAGUAACGCGUGGGUAAUCUGCCCUUGAGUGGGGAAUAACCUCGCGAAAGCGGGGCUAAUACCGCAUAACAUCCUCUGGUUCUCGGACCGGGGAAUCAAAGAUGACCUCUGCAUGCAAGUUGUCGCUCGAGGAGGAGCCCGCGUCCCAUUAGCUAGUUGGUAGGGUAACGGCCUACCAAGGCUACGAUGGGUAGCCGGCCUGAGAGGGUGACCGGCCACACUGGAACUGAGACACGGUCCAGACUCCUACGGGAGGCAGCAGUGAGGAAUAUUGCGCAAUGGACGAAAGUCUGACGCAGCGACGCCGCGUGGAGGAUGAAGGCCUUCGGGUCGUAAACUCCUGUCGAGGGGGACGAAAUGGUGCCUUGUAAAUAGCAAGGCGUCUUGACGGUACCCCUGGAGGAAGCCCCGGCUAACUCCGUGCCAGCAGCCGCGGUAAUACGGAGGGGGCCAGCGUUGCUCGGAAUCACUGGGCGUAAAGGGCUCGUAGGCGGUCUGAUAAGUCCUGUGUGAAAUCCCUUGGCUUAACCAAGGAACUGCGCCGGAUACUGUCGGACUAGAGGCCGGGAGAGGGAAGCGGAAUUCCGAGUGUAGCGGUGAAAUGCGUAGAUAUUCGGAGGAACACCGGUGGCGAAGGCGGCUUCCUGGACCGGUUCUGA
rnacentral:rRNA from 1 species